CUCUGCUACAAAAACAAGAAACCACUUCCCCCUUCUCUUUCUCUUCUCUUCUCUCCCUUAAGUCUCCUCUCUAAACCUUGUAAAGGAGACGUAUUCCAUGUGCUUUGGUCCCUCAACGCCGCGAUCAGAGGCUCCUCCGUCUCCCCUCCACUGAGAUCUGCUCCUCAAUUUGCCUGACGCCCCGCAGAGCAGGGCUGGGGAACUGCACGGUUGAGUUUGAUUUCGGAAUUCAUGACAUGGGUUCUGUCUCCCUUCUGAUUCUGCUCCGUUGGGUUGCUUUAAGGGAUGAAGAGAUUAAGAGAUGAUGCCUACCGUGGCAGCGGGUUUCCAAUUCAAACGUCCCUUUGGUUCUUCAAGUUAAAAAACCGGGUUUGGCAGAGGUGGGGGCAUGGCAGGAGGUGGCAGUGCCUCUUAGAAGCUGACAACCAAUGAUGCAUUGACGUACCUCAAGGAGGUCAAGGACAUGUUCCAAGAUCAAAGGGAAAAGUAUGACAUGUUCCUGGAGGUCAUGAAAGAUUUCAAAGCUCAAAGAACUGAUACUGCUGGAGUCAUUGCAAGAGUAAAGGAAUUACUCGAGGGGCAUAACAAUUUAAUUUGGGGAUUCAAUACAUUCUUACCAAAGGGUUAUGAAAUCACCGUGGAUGACGAUGAAGCUCCAGCAUGGAAAAUAGUGG